UUCCUGGUUUUGCUUAGGAUACCGCUUCUAAUAAGAACAUAAUUGGACAAACCUUAUUGCUUUCAUGCUAUUGAAAAGACAAUUGGCGCAUUCUCACUACUUGCAACUUCGGUUUUCAUCAGCUUUGGUGUGUGGUCUCAAAGAUCUUAGCUGAGGAAGCUGCUUGGGAAUUUGCAAAACAAAACAGAAUUGAUAUGUUUACACUUACAGUACAUGCAUGAAUAGUGAGUAGCCUUCUCCGAUAGCCAACUGUGAACACAAGCAUGGAGCCCCUUCUAAGACUCAUAAACGGUACAAUAAAGAAGGAUCUCUCAUAGAUGGGAUGAUAUUUAGAGAUGUUGCAAACGCACAUAUUCUAGCAUUUGAGAAUCCUUCCCUGCUCUCAAUCUUCUGGGAAAGUAAGCUUCUAACUAAAUUGCAGGAACUUUUAAUCAUAUGAAAUAUGUGGAAUAACAUUAUUCAUCAUUACAUAUAUUGCUACAUAGGACAAGCAUCUAAGUUUACCUCAGAAUGCCCAAUUGAAAUUCACCAGAAAAAAAAAUCCAAAAACGGAAACCUAGCCAAGAAAGUAGAGUGGAAACAAUAGA